CAGAGCUGAGAAACACCUCUAAUGAAGUCAAACACCAAUGCAGUGAGAACACAGCAAUCACGCUCAUGUGUGGACCAAAAUAACUGCUCCAGGACUGCCUGAAUGAGGUCUCGACUCGCAUUUAAGGGAACUCAAUUGCUGUGAGAAAGAGAUUCAAGCCUGAAAUUGCAGGAAGUGAAUGAAACACACUGUGCAUUUUGGGAGG